rfam:Jaapia argillacea MTCL 33604 unplaced genomic scaffold JAAARscaffold_67, whole genome shotgun sequence.
GGUGGUAUAGUGUAGUGGUUAUCACUCGGGAUUUUGAUUACACAUCCUUCCCGAAACCCAGGUUCGAACCCUGGUACUACCU